CAUGGAUGACAGUUUCCUCAGAAAAUGGCAGAAUUGUUGCAAGGCCUGGUCCCUAAUCCCAGGUGUGGAGGAGCCACAUGGAUCUUAGGCCUCAAAAUCCAUGGUCUGCCUAUAGGACCAAGUAAGGAAUACAAUCCCACAGAAGAAAGGGUUUUUUGAUGGCAACCAUAGAUGGUUACAACUACUCAAGUUCAGG